rnacentral:rRNA from 1 species
AUACGGAGGGGGUUAGCGUUGUUCGGAAUUACUGGGCGUAAAGCGCACGUAGGCGGACUGGAAAGUUGGGGGUGAAAUCCCGGGGCUCAACCCCGGAACUGCCUCCAAAACUUCCAAUCUAGAGAUCGAGAGAGGUGAGUGGAAUUCCAAGUGUAGAGGGGAAAUUCGUAGAUAUUUGGAGGAACACCAGUGGCGAAGGCGGCUCACUGGCUCGAUACUGACGCUGAGGUGCGAAAGCGUGGGGAGCAAACAGGAUUAGAAACCCUAGUAGUCC